GGACGCCUUGCAGACUUUCAAGGCAAGAGCCUCGAGGAGAUCAACAUUGAUCCAAACGAAACAAUCCAGUUGGACAUGCAUACUGAGUCUGAAGAGGUGGUGUAUGAAGGAGACAUGGAAGUUCCUGAUGUCAGUCCGGCGCAGAGGCAAAGUGGGUUGCCGCAAGUAGAUGAAGGGGAAAUUCAUUCAGAUGAAGAGGACAUCCCUGUCCAAAAGACAAAGUCAAAGACUGUAGUUCCUGGCAUGAGACCAUUACAAAAGCGGAC